GGAGGGGUGGCCGAGUGGUUGAAGGCAGUGGUCUUGAAAACCACCGAUGGUUAAAACUAUCCGAGAGUUCGAAUCUCUCCCCCUCCG
rnacentral:tRNA from 1 species